UAAGGAAUAUUGGACAAUGGGCGAAAGCCUGAUCCAGCAAUGCCGCGUGAGUGGAGAAGGCCUUCGGGUUGUAAAGCUCUUUUGUCAGGGAAGAAACGGUGAAAGCUAAUAUCUUUUGCUAAUGACGGUACCUGAAGAAUAAGCACCGGCUAACUACGUGCCAGCAGCCGCGGUAAUACGUAGGGUGCAAGCGUUAAUCGGAAUUACUGGGCGUAAAGCGUGCGCAGGCGGUUGUGUAAGUCAGAUGUGAAAUCCCCGGGCUCAACCUGGGAAUUGCAUUUGAGACUGCACGGCUAGAGUGUGUCAGAGGGGGGUAGAAUUCCACGUGUAGCAGUGAAAUGCGUAGAUAUGUGGAGGAAUACCGAUGGCGAAGGCAGCCCCCUGGGAUAACACUGACGCUCAUGCACGAAAGCGUGGGGAGCAAACA
rnacentral:rRNA from 1 species